UACAGAGGUCUCAAGCGUUGUUCGGAUUCAUUGGGCGUAAAGGGUGCGUAGGCGGCGCGGUAAGUCGGGUGUGAAAUCUCGGGGCUUAACUCCGAAACUGCAUUCGAUACUGCCGUGAUUGAGGACUGGAGAGGAGACUGGAAUUUACGGUGUAGCGGUGAAAUGCGUAGAUAUCGUAAGGAAGACCAGUGGCGAAGGCGGGUCU
rnacentral:rRNA from 1 species